GGGAUUUGGGGGUGGGGAGGGCAUUGGGGUCGCCACCCUCCGUUGGGGCCAGGCCUUCAUCUCUCCUUAUAGCCGCUUCACGUUGAAGAGUAUUUCUUGAUAGGCUUUCUUAGGUCUGCCCUGAUGAACCUCGUGAAGCCCCUGUGUUUUCUGUGUCUGGAACAGAGCAAGAAGGGAGUAGGAGGUCUGUUAGUGGCUAGAGUACCUAACCUUCAAGGAUCUUGUCUCUGACUUGAGUACACAGCUGCCAGCACCAUGAGGAGAGACCAGAGCCAGCUCUUAAACAACCAGAUGGCACACGUGGAGAAGGAUUGGAAUGACCAACUGGAGCAUAAGAAAGUGCCUCCACAGCUCAACUCAGCAUUAACCAAACACUCAUUCAGUGGCAUGUGAAUGGAACUUCACCAUCCCAGAUUGGCUCUUAAUCCUUGGCGAGAGAAUAUCGGAGCCUGUAUCUGCCUCUGUGGCUAGAACCGCAUGAAUACAUGAAGCUGCCAUAUACAGAAUCUGAUCCUUGGUCCAUUUAGCCUGGUCUUGUACGGCAGAGGCUCUCCAAGGCUGCAGGGCCUAGAAUCAACCAAGCAGUUCAGCCCUACUUGAAAAGUACCUGUGGUGUUAACGCUUGGGAAUCGAUGCUCCCUCCAUCUGAUCCAGGCCACUUUGGACUAUUCCAUCUAGAAGAACUUCAUUUUAGCAUCAUAGUCUUACUAGACCGGGUUUCUCCUAGAAGGUGAAUUUCCACCAGACCCAGGGGUACCAGAAGAUGGCACUGGACUGAGAUGGCACAUGGGGACUUGGUGCGUCAAGUCUUUUGCUUGCCUUAAAUGGCUCACCCUUCCCCCUUUGUGGCCUCUGUACCGGUUUGGAAGACUAUAUAUUUUAAUUCGAAAGCUCCAGUAUCUCAAAGCUUCAUGGAAGCAGAAACCUUUGAAUGAAUGACCCCCUGUGAAUAUAUGCUGCAGUCCAGGAAAUGGCCUUGUGAAACCACCACGAAGGAAGACAGCAGAAGAACACAUGGAGCAGCUGUCAUUGAAUUAAACGUCUUGGAACUGUGGCUUGUAUAUUAUUGUCUCAGCAGGUGUCAUGGGAUGAAGCUGAUUAAAAAAAAAAACUGUUGGAAACUUAAAUUUGCUAGUAUUAUUUAAAAGGCUGAUACUAUUUUUUUUAUUAUUAAAAAUGUCUUUCAGCUUU